rnacentral:rRNA from 1 species
AAUGGGGGGCUGCUUACCAUGCAGUCGAACGGCAGCACGGGUGCUUGCACCUGGUGGCGAGUGGCGAACGGGUGAGUAAUACAUCGGAACAUGUCCUGUAGUGGGGGAUAGCCCGGCGAAAGCCGGAUUAAUACCGCAUACGAUCUCUGGAUGAAAGCGGGGGACCUUCGGGCCUCGCGCUAUAGGGUUGGCCGAUGGCUGAUUAGCUAGUUGGUGGGGUAAAGGCCUACCAAGGCGACGAUCAGUAGCUGGUCUGAGAGGACGACCAGCCACACUGGGACUGAGACACGGCCCAGACUCCUACGGGAGGCAGCAGUGGGGAAUUUUGGACAAUGGGCGAAAGCCUGAUCCAGCAAUGCCGCGUGUGUGAAGAAGGCCUUCGGGUUGUAAAGCACUUUUGUCCGGAAAGAAAUCCUUGGCCCUAAUACGGUCGGGGGAUGACGGUACCGGAAGAAUAAGCACCGGCUAACUACGUGCCAGCAC